rnacentral:lncRNA from 1 species
UUGCAGAAACAAGAACAUUAGCUUUAAAAAUCUGGUUUUUAAGCACAAUUUUGAUCAAGCUAUUUUCAGAAAUUGGAUAUUGCAAUACUCAAUCCACCUUAAAAUCAGCAAAUUUCAAUUUCGAGAACAUUUACAUUGCUAUUCACAAUUAUCUUACAGAAUGGCUAAAUAACAUACUGCUCCUUCAAUGACCAGAUGUGCUUCUUUUUACUUUGCAUGCAUUUCGUUUCAUAACCUUUUCUUACAACAAGUGACAUUAUCAAUUGAUACUGAAAGCAAAAUGUUGUUGCCAAAUCCCUCACUUUCUUCAUCUGAUAGAUGUACUUUUGUCAUUAGUAAACCAGCACUCAGGCUUUGUGGCAUCCACUAGUCAUCAAUUGCAUACCAAGUUCACCAAUUGUGCACUCUUAUAAUCAGAAAGUUUAAUUCGUAUGAGCUUAAUUCAUAUGAGCAAGAAAGAAAGGAGUUACCACAUUCAAGUUAAGAUCCACUUUCGACAUGUAUGAUUCCAAUGCUGCAGAAUGUCUCUUAAAAUAAUCUUUUUCCAAGUGACUGAGUUUUUCUUGAAUUUCUUCGGGCAGCUCAAAGAGCCUAAGCCCAACUGUCCAUGCCAAAUUCUGUAUCAUUUCUGCUCGGUUGUACCUACAUGACCAUAAACCACGAACUAGAGUUACUGCCACAAUGAAAAACCUCAAAUUAAACAUAAAAGCUAAUUAUAAGAAUGUUGCUUACAGAAAUAACAUAGCAUUAGAGAAUACUUACACGUAUGCCAUCAGGCAGCGUUUGUUGCGAAUUAGAGAAAGGUGGUUGAUAAGUGCUCCAUAGUGAUCUGCAUUUCUUGUUGUUUGAAAAUCCAAUCCUUCUUCCUGCAUUUUCCUAACACAAGCAUAAAUCUACAAAGUAAGUUAAAAAUAAAGGUAUGCAAUUACUCGUCGUAUCAAAAGAAACACCAAGGAUUCAUACCAAAUGAUUACCUUAUCAAGGACUGAAGCGCGAGGAAAUUUUCACUGCAUUCUUUAAUUACUUCAUUUAAAAGCUCAUCCUGCAAAAUCACAUAACAAAGACCAAAUUUCAAGGUUAGCAGAAAUAAACCUAAAAUACUCAUCAAACAGUUGAUAACCACAGCACAAUGUAACAAUAAUACAAAAGUGGAGAACUUGAAAACAUUCAGAAAAGCUAGUUGUACAAUGAAUCAAUAAACAUAAAAUCACCCACUUCAUAAUGCAUGCAUUAAAUCAACAGCUUGAGCAUGCCCUUUUCACACGACACGCAAAAACAGAAAUCAAGAAACAAAGAACACAACUGAAUUGAAAUUACAUUAAAAUGCGUGAGCUGGCCUUUUUCACCACUUGCAAGUCCCUUUACCAGUCGGCUUCCCAAUCUUCCGUGCAUUUCUUUUCCUUUCGAGAUCCUGAAUUCAUUCAAGCAUUUCAUCAAACAUCGUACAUGCGCAAAAACAGACGUACAUGGCACAUCAGCACUAGGGAUGGCAAAACAUCGGGUCGGGCUCGGGCUUGGCCAAACCCGACCCGAUCAAUAAAAAAUUAAAGCCCGACCCUAAAAAAGCCCUACCUAUUUAUAGUUAGGGUCGGGUCGGGCUCGACCCGAAUCGGGCCAACAUCGGGUCGGGCUACCGAAACCAUUUUCCAAAUGCAGCUGCAACUUGCAUUUCCAGAUUUCCAGAUUGCUUAAGCUGCUCGUGUGCUGUCCAAGACAGCAUUUCAAGACGAAAGCCAUGCUCAUGCCUCCUAGUUUCCUAUAUUUAAACAAAGAAUUUGAAUCCCAACAAAUUCUUCUUUACAUACAAUUUUUAAAUGACAAAAUUUUACAUCAAUCUUCUUUACAUACAACUUUUAAAUGACAAAAUUUUACAUCAGAAUCAACCGCAUCAGAAUCAUCCUAUGACAAUUUUUUUUUAUUAUUUACAUAUCACAAAUUAAAUUUACCAAUGCUUCAGAAAGAAAUGCGGUAAUGCCGGGGCAGAACUGUUCGUUGGCCGUUGGCUGGCAGACGGACGCGGCAAAGGGCGACAAAGGGCGGUUGGCUGGUUCACGCGACAGCGAGACACGACAGCAAGACACACGGCGACGAGACGUUGCUGAUUGGCUGGCGACCUGGCGUGCGGCGGACGGUGACGAUGCUCUCUGAUUCGGCGGCGGGUUGGGUGGCUGGCUCCUGGCUUAGGGUUUUUGAGAAUUUGGGAUUUACGGUUUAGAGAGCUGUGAUGUGUGCGUGUGUGAUGUUGUUUGUGAUGUGUGCGUGUGUGAAUUGUGAUGCUGUGAAUGUGAUGUGUGCGUGUGUGAUGCUGUGAAUGUGAUGACUGAUGUGUGCAGUGUGCCGCGUGCGUGUGUUAGAUUGUUAGCAACUUAGCUUUUUUUUUUUGUUUUUUAAUUAGGGUCAGGUCAGGUCGGGUUGGCUUUAAGCCCGACCCUAACUCUAAAUUUAUUCGGACCUUAAAAUCUUAGCCCGAAUCCGACCCGAAACCCGAAACUUCGGGCCAAAACCCUUAAUAUUAGAGUCGGGUCAUUCGGGCUAAAAAUAGGGCCGGGCUAAAUUGCCAAGCCUAAUCAGCACAGAGAUCAAUAGAUGCAUCAAAGAUAAUAUUUAAUAAAAUACCCGUUAUGGCUGUUUGUUUGGCGAGAUCGAAAUAGUGAGAAAAUGGAUCAAAAUGGUCGAAUUCAUUCUUAGGCAUGUGAUCUAACUUCUGGUCAUCGCUUUUGGCGGGGAAGUUUUUGAAGCUUUUCAAAUUUGGCGCUCAAAUUUUUUUGGGUGACGGUGCCGUUUAAGUAACAGUGUUUGUGUUUGUGUUAUUUUAUUUGAUUUUAGUUGUAGUAUAUCCUGUCAACAAGAUAAAAGCGCGUUUAAAAUUAUUAGUCUUUGAACUUCAAAAAAUUAAAAUAUUGGUCUUUUGUUUUACACUGAUAUUUAUUGUAGAAAUCAUUUUUUACUGAAUUAUUUCCUCAUAAUUGGAUGACUGGUACUAGUUAAUCAUUUUUAUAAAAAAAUAUAAGCAAAGUUUCAAGUGAGGACUCAAUUAAAUUCCCCUUCUUGGGAAAUAAAAAAUAAAAAAAAGGAGUCAAUUAAAAUCUUGAUCUCAUAAUUACAUCAAGUUGGUGGUGUAACAUGAAGGUCAAGUUGAUUGGUUGUCAACAUUAUUAAGGCCCAUCAUUAUAAAGCAUUUCUUUUUUUUUUUUUAAUUAUUUGGUCAAUCAUGAUAAGCAAUGUUGAAUUAGUGCCACAAAAGUUGUUCAAUGAUAAUGUUGAUGAUGCUUUGCUAUGAUGGACGGUGACAAUGAUAACUAUCAAUUAACCGGUCCCGUUUUGAUUUGAUUGUGCUUUAGACUUUGCAUGAAAAUCUCAUUUAACCAAAAUUCUUUAGUUCCAAUCGCGCUCGUUUUUCCAAAUUUCAAACCCCAAUUCAAGACUUCUCCUGUUGGUAGGGUGACCAAAUAUAUCAUUCAAAUCUAAAAAAUUUUCAAGGUCAUGUUCCCACCGUUACAAAAUUGUCAUGGGAGCAGUUACCGUGUUUGGAAAAAACAAUGCACUUUAAUUUUAUGAAAAACGUUUUACAUUAUUUUCUAAGAUAAAAAAUAGUUGUAGUGUUUUAGAAACUUCCUUUAUAAUUAAUACUAGAUGGCACAAGUGUUACAUCUUUAGUCCCUAUAGCAAAAUUAUGAAAAAUACAACUCACGUAUUUUUUUUUCUUAAAUUAUUAUGAUAAGACCAUUAAUAUGUUAUUUUCUCAAUUAUAUUACAUUUAUUUUCACAUGUAAUUAAAUAAACUAAUGUAAAAAUAAAUAACAAAACGAUAAGACAAAUUGACAUGAAUUGCAACCCUAACCCCAUUACAAAACUUGAGAGUCAAAAUUUGUGGACAUGAACCGCAGGCAGGAUGGACCCAAAAUUGUUGGGUCCAAGUCAUCACCCAUUUUAAAGAGUAGAACUAGAAAUCCUACUUCAAAAUAGUAGAAAAAUCAAAUAUACAACGUGCGGUGCUCAUCAUCAUCAUCGUGAUUUGACCUUUUUUGCAUAAAUUUGUUGACCUAAUCCUCCAACUCACCAUCAGUUGGACUCAUUCCAAAGUAGUAUUUUAGAAUAUGCCUGAGCGAACCAUUUUUUACACUGUAGGAUACUCAGUUAGUGGUUCAUCAAGUUCGACAUAUCCCUCUUCCGCUGGUAAAAUGAGAUGUAGUCUUUGAAAGUUAAUAGCUAUCACGCCUGCAAAACAGUGAAAUAGAGGUUAAAGGUGAAGCCGGGGUACCCCGGCGUUCACACUCCGAUGCUCAAGUUAGCAAACUCAAGCUUUUAUGGCAAAGAGAGCUAGCUAGCCCUCUGUAAAUUAGGGUUUUAAGGUUGAAGAAAACCUCUUUUUUGGAGUGUGAGUGUCUUAGGGCAAAUGAGAGCCUGACGGAGAAUGAAACCUAGGCGCCUUUAUAUAUGGAGUACCUUAGCUGCCACGUGGCGUACCCUUUUUUGUUAACGUCCUUUUACCGAUUUUAUGAUUCUUGGGGCCGUUAUGUGCAUGUUCGUGGCGUAUCUCAUCUUUUGGAAACGUGGCGCGCGCUGGAGAGUGGUCCGGGGUACCUCUGCAGUAGCUGUCGGGUAGGCGGCUGGGGAUCACUGUCCUUGGGACAGUGUCCUUCACUUUUGGCAGAGGUAGCAGGCGGCUGUCCCCCCCUUUUAAUACGAUGUUCUUGAUUCCUAAUUAUGACAAAAUCAAAUAAUAUCUUUUAGGAGGCGAAGACGUUUCUCAUGGCGGAUAUUCUCGGUGGAUUCUCUUGAGUCGGACCUGCCGGGUACCUCGAGUUACGUGGGAUACCCCGAUCUAUGUGGGGUACCCCUAAUUGUGCGGGAUACCUCUAUUUGUGUGGGGUACCUCUAUUUGUGUGGGGUACCUCUAAUUGUGCAGGGUACCUCUAUUUACGCCGGGUACCUCUAAUUGCGCAGGGUACCUCUAAUCAUGCGGGGUACCUCUAAUCACGCCGGGUACCUCUAAUCAUGCGGGUACCUCUAAUCAGGCCGGGUACCUCUAAUCACGCGGGGUACCUCUAAUUACGCCGGGUAACUCUAAUCAGGCCAGGUACCUCUAAUCACGCCGGGUACCUCUAAUUAUGCGGGUUACCUCUAAUCAGGCUGGGUAUCUUGAAUUAUGCUGGAGUUAUUCCGGGUACCUCGAAUUAUACGGGGUACCCCAGUCUAUGCGGGGUACCUCGAGUUACUCUGGAGUUAUGCGGGGUACUUCUGACCGUGCCGGGUACUUCAAAUCAUGGCAGGUACCUCUAAUCGUGUGGGGUACCCUAAUCAUGUCGGGUACUUCGGAUUGCACUGAAAUUAUUCCAUUCGUCGACACGUGGCGUUCUACUAUCUUUCUUAUUUUUCCCCCAAACAACCUGCAUACUCUAUGGCAUCUAUGCAUUGGUUAUGGUUGUGCAGAGGUAGUAAAAUGAGUCAUGACACGAUUAUAUAACAUGAUUUUAAUGUAUUUGUGUUGAUAAAUAUUGAAAAUUAUCUCAAUUAAAAAAUGAAUCUCACUUUUUCGUCAAAUUUUCUGCUAGAUAUAAAACUACAAACGCCAUUGAUAUUUGCUCAUGUAUGAUGUCUUCUCAUACGACAGUCAAAUUAUCUGCACUAUGAUACUUGUCUCACAAACAAUGAUACAAAAGUAACGAAGAUAAUAUUGAUUUGAGGACUGAAAUGAAAGAAGAGAGUAAAAAAGGCGCACGCGCACGCAAAUGUAUAAUGAAGGGACAUGUCAAUCUCCCAUCAUUUUGCUUGCUGCAAAAUAUCUUUGAUUAACAGCUUGAUGUUAAGGUAAGAAGACCCCCCUUCUUCUAUUGCUGUCUUUGCCGUCUCCCCAUACUCUCUAGCUCUUCUUCUCCUCUCAUCUCUUUCUUCCCCUUCAUCCAUGAGCAUGUUAAUAGCCUUUUUGACAUCUUCCUUCUUCACCGGCACCCCAUUCCUCUCUUCAUCGGCUAAACUUGGUGGACGUUCUGCCCCAAUCGUCACACCAAUCCUCAACACUUGCACAACCAACUUCUCAUUGCAAAACUGAUCUGCGAAAAAUGGCCAGGUGACCAUCGGCAAGCCAUUUGAAACCGCUUCUAGCACUGAAUUCCAGCCGCAAUGUGUUAAGAACCCUCCAAUUGCAGGGUGUGACAAUAUCACCACUUGAGGAGCCCAACCCCGGAUCAAAAGUCCUCUCCCUUCAAUCCUUUCCUCAAACUUUUCUGCCAAAAGCCAAUCCUCUAACCCUUUUGCUUGAUCUCCGGGUCUUAUAACCCAGAUGAAUGGCUUCUUUGUUGCUUCUAAGCCUAAACCAAGCUCUAUCAGCUGUGUGGUUGAAGAAUCACAAAGACUUCCAAGACAAACAUAGACUGCAGAGCCUGGUUGCCAUGAAUCAAGCCACUUUAAGCAACCAGAGCCAUCAUUGGAAGUCUUGUCACCUCUCUCAAGUUUAUCAAUGUCUUCCUUGUUGCACAAUGAAACAGGACCAACACACCAAACUUUUCCAUCUCUUGCAUUCUUGUAUUCUUCAACAUAAGCAGGCUCCAUCUCUUCAAAUGAAUUCACAAUGACCCCAUAGGAUGCCAUUUCAGCUGCCAAAAUUGGCUCACCAAAACUUUUCAGUUUCAGGAUUUCGGGUAGCUGAGCUUUAGUUAUUUCAACUCGAUCAGGCAAUCCAGGCACCAAAAAAUAUUCUGAAUCAGAGGAAACACUCUCAUGAGCCUUGGAAACACUCAAGCUGUGCAAACACAAAAGACAAAAGCAAGAAAAACCAUGGAAAACAAUCCUUGGAACAUUGAACUUGCAGGCAGAAGAAACUGUCCAAGGCAAACACACGUCGGAGAUUAAGCAGCUUGGCUUAGGUUGUAUCUCCUUGAACAAAGUUUCCAACGGCAAACGCAGCAUUUCAAUUGCAGCGAAGAACUUAGGGAGCAAGGCCAUCGAAGGAAGCUUGUCCCAACUCUCACAACCUUCAGGCAAUCCUACUUCUUGACAUGGAAAAUAAAACUCAAUGACUUGGAUACGUAACCCAGAUUGUAUCCCACGUUCUAUAACGUUUUGAAACCGGGCUGCAUUCAUUGGUGUGGUGACAAUGGUUACAAGGGCGCCAUGCUGUGCCAACAAUCUUGCAAUGUCUAUCAUGGGAAUCAUAUGGCCCUGAGCAAGAAAAGGAAAUAAGAUGAAGUGAAGUUGGCUACCAGCUUGGGAUGCCAUGGCAGAGUUUCUCUUCCCAAUGGGACUUUGCUCCUGCCUGUUGGUGAUGUUUAUAGAAUCAAUAAUGCCAGUUUUGGGAACUUAGAAUAAUGCAUUAUUAAAGAUGACUUAAGUGUGAGUGAUAAGGGUGGGGUGGUCCUGGUGGAGAUCGUCAUGACUUAAGUGUGAGUGAUAAGGGUGGGGGGGUCCUGGUGGAGAUCGUCUUCACAUUGCUUCAGGAAAAUACUGUAUCUUUUUCUUCUCAUGGCAGAGUUUUCUUUGUUUUCAACUCAAAAUUAGAAACAGACAGCUGCUAACGUAACCCCCACCACUUGAAGUGACAUUUGUCGAUUUCCAUUUAUAAAUUGAAACAAAUGUCCAUUUUCUAUGGUACUUCAUUGGUUAGUGGGAUUAAACGCCUUCCAGUCAUUUUGAGACGUAUUUCGCUGGAAGUGAAAGACCUCAUUCUUUUCUUUGCUGGACAGGUUGUUGUUUUUUGUUUGACGUCAAUCGUUUGGUUUAUUCGAGAGGCGAUAUUUUAAUUUUGAGAUGAAUGGGUCGUCUUCUUAUUUAAGUUUACGUUAGAGCUGUGUCGAGAACGGGGCUAUCACAGGUGGCAUCACGAGUCUAAAGACAUUUGUAACACCACAAACUUAACACGUGUAAGAAACGUGUCAAAUGGAAAGGCGACUAACUCAUUCACAAACUUUGGCACCAAACUCGUGCUCUGUAAUGAAAUUUCUCUUGAAAAUUCAAUUCAUUCUUGGGGUCUUAAAAUCAACAAACUACUAAAAAAAAAUCCCUUGGAACGAAAUAAUCGAAGUCUUGAAACCAGAAAUUACAACUCAAAACCAAAAUAUAUUUACAUAAAAUUGGUAAUAUUCUACAUUGUAUUUUUCGUUCAUUCAUAUCACAGUCCAGAAUCAAAUUAUUUCGUGCAGCUAAAAUGGAUUUUCCGAAGGAAUAUAGAAAAAAAUUUUGAGCAGCAGGCAAAAGAAUGAAAUUUUGAGAGGGGUCAACAAUGAUGGCAUUCUGAAAAGUGAUUAUCAAGCUCUGAAAAUUAAAGAAGAGAACUAUAUCAAAGAUGAUCAACAUAAUCCAUCAUAUUUAAUAAAACUAGGAAAUUGAACUUGUGGAAUCCGAAUUAACAAUUAAAAUCAGAAACAAAUCACAGCAUCUAAAUGAAUUAAGGUUGUCUUUAGUACUAAAGUUGGAGAAGCUACAGCAUUAAUAUUCGAUAAAUAUUAGCUGUUAUUGCUUAAAAACUAAAUUGAUUUUUUAUCUCUCUUAUCUUGCGUAUGGACAUCACAUUUUUCAUUGCUCACCUUAUUUUGCUCGCUGCAUAAUAUCUUGGAUUAACAGUUUGAUGUUAAGGGAAGAAGAUCCCCCUUCUUCAAUUGCUCUCUUUGCCAUCUCCCCAUACUCUUUAGCCCUUCUUCUUCUCUCAUCUCCUUCUCCUCCUUCAUCCAUGAGCAUGUUAACAGCCUUUUCCACAGCUUCCUUCUUCACUUCAUCCGCUAAGUGUAGAGGGCGUUCCGCCCCAAUGCUCACACCAAUCCUCAACACUUGCACAACCAACUUCUCAUUGCAAAACUGAUCUGCGAAAAAUGGCCAGGUGACCAUCGGCAGGCCAUUUGAAACCGCUUCUAGCACUGAAUUCCAGCCGCAAUGUGUUAAGAACCCACCAACCGUAGGGUGUGACAAUAUCACCACUUGAGGAGCCCAACCCCGGAUCAAAAGUCCUCUCCCUUCAAUCCUUUCCUCAAACUUUUCUUCCGAAAGCCAUUCCUCUAGCUCUUUUGUUUUAUCUCCGGCUCUUACAACCCAGAUGAACGGCUUCUUUGUUGCUUCUAAAGCCUAAACCAAGCUCUAUCAGUUGUCUGGUUGAACAAUUACAAAGACUUCCAAGACAAACAUAGACUACAGAGCUCGGUUCCCAAGAAUCAAGCCAUUUUAAGCAAACAGAGCAAUCAAUUGAAGCCUUGUUGCCUCUCUCAACUUUAUCAAUAUCUUCCUUGUUGAAAAAUGAAACAGGACCGACACACCAAACCUUUCCACCUCUUGCUUUCUUGUAUUCUUCAACAUAAGCAGGCUCUAACUCUUCAAAUGAAUUCACAAUAACCCCGUAAGAUGCCAUUUCAGCUGCCAAAACUGGCGCACCAAAACUUUUCUUCUUCAGGAUUUCUGGUAGCUGAUCUUUAGUUAUUUCAACUUGAUCAGGCAAACCAGGCACUUAAAAGUAUUCGGAGUCAGAGGAAACACUCUCAUGAACCUUGGAAACACUCAAGCUGUGUAAACACGACAGACAAAAGCCAGAAAAGCCGUGGAAAACAAUCCUUGGAACGUUGAACUUACUGGCAGAAGAAACCGUCCAAGGAACAACAUGUCAGAGAUUAAGCAGCUUGGCUUAGGUUGUAUCUCCCUGAACAAAUUUUCCAAUGGCAGUUGCAGCAUUUCGACUGCAGAGAAGAACUUGGGGACCAAAGUGAUCGAUGGAAGCAUGUCCCAAUUCUCGCAACCUUCAGGCAAUCCAACUUCUUGACAUGGAAAACGAAACUCAAUGACCUGGAUAGGUAGCCCGGAUUGUAUCCCUCGUUCGAUAACAUUUUGAAACCGGGCUGCGUUCUUUGGUGUAGUGACAAUGGUAACAAAGGCGCCUUGCUUUGCCAACAACCUUGCAAUGUCUAUCAUGGGAAUGAUAUGGCCCUGAAUAAGGAAAGGAAACAAGACGAAGUGAAGCUGGCUACUAGCUUGGGAAGCCAUGGCAGAGUUUCUCUUUCGAAUGGGACUUUGCUGCUGGUGAUGUUUUUAGAAUCAAUAAUGCAUUUGCUAGAGAUGGUUUUUGACAGAUAGGCAAGGCAAUAAGGGAUGCCGUUGAGAUUUUUGCACUGUAUUCAAAGAAGGGACCUCAUGCCCGUAAGGUACCACCACCAUAUGAAGUGUCAUGUCACUCGUGUCGUUUCCCGAAUUAAAGAUUCUGAAAAACGUGGGCUCAUUGAUUGAAACCCUUUUCCAUUUUCGAUAUUCUCCAUUGGAAAGUUUCUGCAACUUAUUUAAUUGUAUUACAAUCUUUAUGAGACAAAACCAGGAGGUGAAGGUUGUUGAGCAUGUCUCCCAGACCAUAAUAAAUAUUUAUCAUGAAAUUGCCCGUCAAAGCAUUACUGGGUCUAUUAUUUGCAUUCAUCAUAUUCUUGAUGGAAGUUUAAACUCAUAUUCAAAGCAUUACUGGGUCUAUUAUUUGCAUUCAUCAUAUUCUUGAUGGAAGUUUAAACUCAUAUUUCACCCAUUUGGUUAAUGGAAUGUAAUCAGAUUUAUGCAACACCAUUGACCUUGUCAGCAUAACGUCUUUCUUAUGUUAGUAAGAUGCAAAUCAGCCCCAGCUCAAGACAAAUUCACAACACUAUGAAGCAUAUAAAAAACUUGCGCCUUCGUUACAACAUAGAACUUUCCAUUAUUUUCCCGAUGUAGAUGAGGAAGUUGACCAACUUCCUCAUUCUUAAGUCUCAUCUGCGAUUAAAUAGAACUAAUAAUUUACAUACAGUGGAUAAGCAACAAAGUCGGAUCCACAAAAAACUUCAACAAACAUGUGCAAUUGCAGAGGGCCAAGUUUAGGUCAGCCUGUAAGUUCCUCCAUCAAGCCCUGUUGAGCAAGGAAAACCUUGAGGCAUGAAUAGUGUUACAAGGAAUGGAAAUGUUUUAACGCCAGCAUCUGAAGACACAAUUUUAGAAACAAGUUAGAGAGGCACUCACUCUUGAGAUGUAUGGCUCCGCAUCAGUUCUUUUGAGAAAGUGCAUCGAGUGGCGGGCAAAAUUGGCUGCCUUGUCACUCACAACUAUUCCUUCACCGAGAUCAUCAAGGACCCUCACCUUGAUGUAGGGGUCUUUUGGUGGCACCAUAUCCUUUGCAGAAACAAGAACAUUAGCUUUAAAAAUCUGGUUUAUUAGCACAAUUUUGAUCAAGCUAUAUUCAGAAAUUGGAUAUUGCAAUACUCAAUCCACCUUAAAAUCAGCAAAUUUCAAUUUCGAGAACAUUUACAUCGCUAUUCACAAUUAUCUUACAGAAUGGCUAAAUAACAUACUGCUCCUUCAAUGACCAGAUGUGCUUCUUUUUACUUUGCAUGCAUUUCGUUUCAUAACCUUUUCUUACAACAAGUGACAUUAUCAAUUGAUACUGAAAGCAAAAUGUUGUUGCCAAACCCCUCACUUUCUUCAUCUGAUAGAUGUACUUUUGUCAUUAGUAAACCAACACUCAGGCUUUCUGAACCAUUUUCAUGACUUUUCUGUGGCAUCCACUAGUCAUCAAUUACAUACCAAGUUCACCAAUUGUGCACUCUUAUAAUCAGAAAGUU